rnacentral:rRNA from 1 species
GUGCCAGCAGCCGCGGUAAUACGAAGGGUGCAAGCGUUACUCGGAAUUACUGGGCGUAAAGCGUGCGUAGGUGGUCGUUUAAGUCCGUUGUGAAAGCCCUGGGCUCGACCUGGGAACUGCAGUGGAUACUGGGCGACUAGAGUGUGGUAGAGGGUAGCGGAAUUCCUGGUGUAGCAGUGAAAUGCGUAGAGAUCAGGAGGAACAUCCAUGGCGAAGGCAGCUACCUGGACCAACACUGACACUGAGGCACGAAAGCGUGGGGAGCAAACAGGAUUAGAUACCCUGGUAGUCCACGCCCUAAACGAUGCGAACUGGAUGUUGGGUGCAAUUUGGCACGCAGUAUCGAAGCUAACGCGUUAGGUUCGCCGCCUGGGGAGUACGGUCGCAAGACUGAAACUCAAAGGAAUUGACGGGGGCCCGCACAAGCGGUGGAGUAUGUGGUUUAAUUCGAUGCAACGCGAAGAACCUUACCUGGCCUUGACACGUCGAGAACUUUCCCAGA